rnacentral:rRNA from 1 species
GGAAAAGAAACCAACAGGGAUUGCCUUAGUAACGGCGAGUGAAGCGGCAACAGCUCAAAUUUGAAAUCUGGCCCUCGGGUCCGAAUUGUAAUUUGUAGAGGAUGAUUUUGGUGCGGUAUCUUCCGAGUUCCUUGGAACAGGACGCCUUAGAGGGUGAGAGCCCCGUACGGUUGAAUGCCUAGCCUCUGUAAAUCUCCUUCGACGAGUCGAGUAGUUUGGGAAUGCUGCUCUAAAUGGGAGGUAAAUUUCUUCUAAAGCUAAAUAUUGGCCAGAGACCGAUAGCGCACAAGUAGAGUGAUCGAAAGAUGAAAAGCACUUUGAAAAGAGGGUUAAAUAGCACGUGAAAUUGUUGAAAGGGAAGGAUUUGUGACCAGACUUUUUCUGGGCGGAUCAUCCGGGGUUCUCUCCGGUGCACUUUGCCCAGUAAAGGCCAGCAUCGAUUUUCGGCGGCGGAUAAAAGCAGUGGGAAUGUGGCUCCCUACGGGGAGUGUUAUAGCCCAUUGUAUAAUACGCUGCUGGGGAUCGAGGUACGCGCUUCUGCAAGGAUGCUGGCGUAAUGGUUAUCAAUCACCCGUC